rnacentral:rRNA from 1 species
GCAAGUCGAGGGGUAACAGGGAGCUUGCUCCGCUGACGACCGGCGCACGGGUGAGUAACGCGUAUGCAACCUACCGUACACAGGGGAACAGCCCGGUGAAAACCGGAUUAAUGCCCCAUACCCCCCCCGCCCCGCAUGGUGCGGGGGGCAAAGAUUCAUCGGUGUACGAUGGGCAUGCGUGACAUUAGCUUGAUGGUAGGGUAACGGCCUACCAUGGCAUCGAUGUCUAGGGGUUCUGCAAGGAAGGCC